UCGAGAAUCUUCGGCAAUGGGCGCAAGCCUGACCGAGCGACGCCGCGUGGAGGACGAAGGCCCUCGGGUUGUAAACUCCUGUCGAGGGGGAGGAAGGGCCGAAAGGCCUUGACCGAUCCCUGGAGGAAGCACGGGCUAAGUUCGUGCCAGCAGCCGCGGUAAGACGAACCGUGCGAACGUUAUUCGGAAUCACUGGGCUUAAAGCGCGUGUAGGCGGGGUGGCACGUCCGGCGCUGAAAUCCCCCGGCUCAACCGGGGAACGGGCGCGGAUACGACCGCCCUCGAGGGACGUAGGGGGACCUGGAACUUCCGGUGGAGCGGUGAAAUGCGUUGAGAUCGGAAGGAACGCCCGUGGCGAAAGCGAGGUCCUGGACGUCAGCUGACGCUGAGACGCGAAAGCCAGGGGAGCGAACGGGAUUAGAUACCCCUGUAGUCC
rnacentral:rRNA from 1 species